UUACGGUCACAUCACGUUAAAAUGCCGGUUCCUGUACGAUCACCGAAUUUAAGCAACGUCGAGCCUGGUUAAUACCUAGAUGGGUAACCGUUUGGGAAUACCAGGUGCUGUAAG